GACGAACGCUGGCGGCGUGCUUAACACAUGCAAGUCGAACGGACAGGCCCUGCUUUUUUGGGGUGCUCGCGUUGCCAACGGGUGGGUAACACGUGCGUGACCUGCCCUUGUCUUUGGGUUAACUUCCGGCAACUGGGGCUAAUACCUGCUAGGUGCUCCUGAUCCAUGGUUGGGGUUGGAAAGUUUCGGCGGUUGGGGGUGGACUGGCGGCUUAUCAGCUUUUUGGUGGGGAAGUGGCUUACCAAGGCUUUGACUGGUAGCCGGCAUGUGGGGGUGACCGGCGACAUGGGGACUGAGAGACGGCGCAGACGGCUACGGGAGGCAGUAGUGGGGAAUAUGGCACAACGGGCGGAAGUCUGAGGCAGCAACGCCGCGUGCGGGAUGACGGGUUGCGGGGUGUAAACCGCUACCGCCGGUGAUGAAGCGUGAGUGACGGUAAUGGGUAAAGAAGCAACGGCUAACUACGUG
rnacentral:rRNA from 1 species